UACGUAGGGGGCAAGCGUUGUCCGGAUUUAUUGGGCGUAAAGAGCGUGUAGGCGGCCAGACAGGUCCGUUGUGAAAACUCGAGGCUCAAUCUCGAGACGCCGAUGGAAACCGUCUGGCUAGAGUCCGGAAGAGGAGAGUGGAAUUCCUGGUGUAGCGGUGAAAUGCGCAGAUAUCAGGAGGAACACCGAUGGCGAAGGCAGGUCUCUGGGCCACUACUGACGCUGAGAAGCGAAAGCAUGGGGAGCGAACAGG
rnacentral:rRNA from 1 species